UACGUAGGGGGCAAGCGUUGUCCGGAAUCAUUGGGCGUAAAGCGCGCGUAGGUGGCCCGGUAAGUCCGCUGUAAAAGUCCAGGGUUCAACCCUGGAAAGCCGGUGGAUACUGUCGGGCUAGAGUCCGGAAGAGGCGAGUGGAAUCCCUGGUGUAGCGGUGGAAUGCGCAGAUAUCAGGAGGAACACCGAUGGCGAAGGCAGCUCGCUGGGACGGUACUGACGCUGAGGCGCGAAAGCGUGGGGAGCGAACAGG
rnacentral:rRNA from 1 species